AUGCAUCUAUUUGAUAGACCUGGAACAGUUAAUCUCUGCUUGUAAGGCUUCCACUACACAUGCAAGAAAAAUGUUUCCUCUUUCCACUUUCUGUCUGUUUGAUUGUGACAGCCAAGAUUGAAUGGGGGAAUACAGGA